AAGUCGUAACAAGGUUUCCGUAGGUGAACCUGCGGAAGGAUCAUUAACAAUUUUUAAACCAUUUUCUAUGGAAAAAUUAAAAAAAUCCAUUACCUACCUUUAUGUGCACUAUAAAAAAUGUUUUACUUUUGGGAAUUGUAUAAUUUUUGACUUUUAGUUGAUUUUAUCCAUUCCCAAAGGUUUUUUUUUUCAACUCUUUAUUAUUUUGACUGAAAAUUUUUGUUAUAAUAAAAAAACAAAUAUAACUUUCAACAACGGAUCUCUUGGCUCUC
rnacentral:misc_RNA from 1 species